rnacentral:rRNA from 1 species
UACGUAGGGGGCAAGCGUUGUCCGGAUUUACUGGGCGUAAAGGGCGCGUAGGCGGCCUACUAAGUCAGACGUGAAAUCUGGAGGCUCAACCUCCAGCGGUCGUUGGAAACUACUCGGCUAGAGUCCGGAAGAGGAGAGUGGAAUUCCUGGUGUAGCGGUGAAAUGCGCAGAUAUCAGGAAGAACACCGAUGGCGAAAGCAGCUCUCUGGGACGGUACUGACGCUGAGGCGCGAAAGCGUGGGGAGCGAACAGG